GUCCUUCCGGCACAAUCUAUGCCUUCACAAAUGAGAAAAAAAUACAGCAAAGAUUAGCUUUGUAUCAAGGCGUAUGCCCCAUAUAUAUGGA